CUUCUGCCGUUCAAAACCCACAAAAGAAGAAAUGCUGCAUCCAUGGAAAGACCAGCUGUGGACGAGCUAUGGACGAGUGAUCUCCCCCUACACUCUUAAACCCAGUGAACUCCACACGAAAAUCAGCUUCAACUUUAAAGUAUCUCAGCUACAGAGACACCUGCUCAGUUAUUAGCUUGACUGACAGUUGGGAUUGUCUGCCAGCGUCAGAGGAGACACUCGCCACCUUCACUUCCAGUAUGAGUGAGUUAACAGACUUUGACAGAGGCCAGAUAGUUGGAGCCCAACUUGCAGGUCUGUCAGUCAAAAAGACUGCUCAGUUAUGUGGUGUAUCGAGUCAAACUGUCCUCAAAGUCAUGAGCGGCUAUAACAAACAUGGACAGACUUCAUCAGCGAAUAACAGUCGGCAAAAAGCUGCCAGUAGGAAACCAGUAUGUGACUCUAAGGCUGACGCACAAAACACUGAUGAAGAGAGCAAAAGAUCUGAAUGUCAGACCAAAGACCAGGAGUGACUUAUGUUUGAUGUGAUGUAGUCAAGUAUUCUGUCAGCUAAGGUACAUUUCCAGGGUUUUCCCCUAAGCUUUUUUUUAUUCUGUUUUGUAAGAAUGAGUAACUUAAGUUCACGUUAAACCAGUGGCAUCUGCCUGUGUUUGGGUGCAGCACUCAAUGUUUUUUGUUUUUGUUUUUUUCCACAAGCAAUUAGUUCUAUGCUGUGUGCUGGCAAGAGACAGUGUUUUAAGUUGAUUGUUGUGUACUGGCUGCAGUACACCAAGGUCCAUUGUACUGAUCCUCCUGAGACUGAUAAAAAAAUGUUUUAACUUUUUUUUUUUUUUUUUAACAUAAUUUAAGUGAUUAGGAUGUAAGAAAUGUGGCACAGAUUUUUUUCUUCUCAAACUGGUUAUUUAUUUCUGUUUUAUAACAUGUAUUUUGUACUGGAAAUCAGGUCAAUCGUUUCCACAAAAUGUACAUAACAAUACAGUACAUUUAGAUUAUAUGAUUAAAUUCACUUUUAAGAAGUGUAAUAAUACAAAUAUUAUAAUAAUAAUGUUGUGUAUUGUUUCUGUGUCACUUUUAAUCCAAAAUGGGCACUGGGUGUCAAUAAUUUCUUCCUCAGCUCGUCCUCCUAUGUGCAUUGAACAUCCUGCUUUACUGUCUAGCUUGUCCCUCACAGAGCACACAUAACGGAUCGCCUGAUCUCAGGAGGAUAUGUAUACGGGUUUCUUAAUGAUAAUCAAGAUUUUGUUGAGAAGGAAUUCUGAGAAGAAAAAAAUGAAAGGGGAUAACAAGAAUUUAGACAUGUGAAUGUGUUUAAGUGGACCUGUUUUGUUCAUUCAAAUUCACAAGAAUGUGCUAUAUUUUUCUCUGUUUGUGGAACAAUAUGAGAAGUGCAUGUAUACUGUUAUAUUAUGUCAAUAAGAGAAAACACA